GGUUUAACCUAGUGUGUGACUGUGAGUCUGUGUGAGGGGCCGAGUGUGUGAGGUACUUAGGUGAGGCGGAAGCUAGAGAAGGGGCUCCCUCAGGAGCGAGGGACAAAAGGGGCGUGAGGCACCUAGGCCGCGGGACCCCAGCGACAGGAAGCCGCCCCGAGCCGGGCUACCGGGUAGGGGAAGGGCCCGCGCAGUCCUCACAGGGCCCCAGAGCCAGAGUCGGCCACACAGCACCGGGCCGUCGGCUUCCUACUUCUUCGACCUCCCCGGCGUCUGGGCCCGAGGAUUGGCUCUGCGUGGGGAGGAGAAACAGAUUCGAGCAGCUACUUGUCUCGCAACUCCACUGCUGAGGAACUCUCAUUUCUUCCUUGGCUCCUUCACCCCCACCUCAUGUAGGAGGGUGCUGAGGAGACGGGAGGGAGGAGGAGCCUGGACUACCGUCCCUUCCCUCCCCACCCCCUUGUAGGGGCGCUUUGGUAGGCGUGGGGCUGGGGGGGAGGGUGGGGGUUACUUUUUGGAGUGCUGGGGAACUUUUUCCCCUUUUUGAGGCCAGGGGAAAGGGAAUGCCCAAUCCAGAGAGACAUGGGGGCAAGAAGGACGGGAGUGGGGGAGCUUCUGGAACUUUGCAGCCGUCAUCGGGAGGUGGCAGCUCCAACAGCAGAGAGCGUCACCGCUUGGGGUCGAAGCACAAGCGGCAUAAGUCCAAGCACUCCAAAGACAUGGGAUUGGUGACACCCGAAGCAACACCUUUGGGCACGGUUAUCAAACCUUUGGUGGAAUAUGAUGACAUUAGCUCUGAUUCCGAUACCUUCUCUGACGACCUGGCUUUCAAACUGGACCGGAGGGAAAAUGAUGAACGUCGCGGGACUGAUCGCAGCGACCGCCUGCAUAAGCACCGUCACCACCAGCACCGACGUACCCGCGACUUAUUAAAAACUAAACAGACAGAGAAAGAAAAAAACCUGGAAGCCUCCAGCAAGUCGGGCUCGACGAAGGACCGGAUAUCAGGAAGUUCAAAGCGUUCAAAUGAGGAGAAUGAUGACCGCGGGAAGGCGCAGAUCUCGAAAAGCAGCAGCAAGGAAUCCAGGUCAUCCAAACUCCAUAAAGAGAAGACCCGGAAAGAACGUGAGUUGAAGUCGGGACACAAAGACCGAAGUAAAAGUCAUCGGAAAAGGGAAACACCCAAAAGUUACAAAACCGUGGACAGCCCCAAACGGAGAUCCAGGAGUCCCCACCGGAAGUGGUCCGACAGCCCCAAGCAAGAUGAUAGCCCCUCCGGAGCUUCUUACGGCCAAGAUUAUGACCUUAGUCCCCCGAGAUCUCACACCUCUAGCAAUUACGACUCCUACAAGAAGAGUCCGGGAAGUACCUCUAGAAGGCCGUCAAUCAGCCCACCUUACAAGGAGCCUUCUGCCUACCAGUCCAGCACUCGGUCACCCAGCCCCUACAGUAGACGACAGAGGUCUGUGAGUCCCUAUAGCCGGCGACGUUCUUCCAGCUAUGAAAGGAGUGGCUCUUACAGUGGGAGAUCACCCAGUCCCUACGGUCGAAGGCGGUCCAGCAGCCCUUUUCUGAGCAAGCGCUCUCUGAGCCGGAGUCCACUUCCCAGUAGAAAAUCAAUGAAGUCUAGAAGUAGAAGUCCUGCAUAUUCAAGACACUCAUCUUCUCACAGUAAAAAGAAGAGAUCCGGGUCACGCAGUCGACAUUCCAGUAUCUCACCUGUCAGGCUUCCAUUGAACUCCAGCUUGGGAGCUGAACUCAGUAGGAAAAAGAAGGAAAGAGCAGCAGCUGCUGCAGCAGCAAAAAUGGAUGGGAAGGAAUCCAAGGGUUCACCUAUAUUUUUGCCUAGAAAAGAAAACAGUUCAGUAGAGGCUAAGGAUUCAGGCUUGGAGCCUAAAAAGUUACCCAGAGGUGUAAAAUUGGAAAAAUCUGCCCCAGAUACUGAACUGGUGAAUGUAACACAUCUAAACACAGAGGUCAAAAAUUCUUUAGAUACAGGGAAAGUGAAGUUGGAUGAGAACUCUGAGAAGCAUCCUGUUCCUAAAGAUACGAAAGUACAGGGAACAAGAGACUCUAAACCUGUAGCACUGAAAGAGGAGAUUGUUACUCCAAAAGAGACAGAGACAUCUGAAAAGGAGACCCUUCCACCUCUUCCCACAGUUACUUCUCCACCUCCUUUACCAACUACUACCCCUCCACCACAGACACCCCCCUUGCCACCUUUGCCUCCACUGCCAGCUAUUUCACAGCAGCCACCUCUGCCUCCUCCCCAGCCAACACUUAGUCAGGUUCUUUCUUCAAGUACUUCAACUUUGCCCCCCUCUGUUCAUCCAAGGACAUCUACUCUGCCCUCUCAGGCAAAUUCUCAGCCCCCUGUACAGGUUUCUGUGAAGACUCAAGUAUCUGUAACAGCUGCUAUUCCACACCUAAAAACUUCAACGUUGCCUCCUUUGCCCCUCCCACCCUUAUUACUGGGAGAUGAUGACAUGGAUAGUCCGAAAGAAACUAUACCUUCAAAACCUGUGAAGAAAGAGAAAGAACAAAGACCACGGCACCUACUCACAGACCUCCCUCUCCCUCCAGAGCUCCCUGGUGGGGAUCCAUCUCCCCCAGACUCCCCAGAACCAAAGGCAAUCACACCACCUCAGCAACCAUACAAAAAGAGACCAAAAAUUUGUUGUCCACGUUAUGGAGAAAGAAGACAGACAGAAAGUGACUGGGGGAAACGCUGUGUGGACAAGUUUGACAUUAUUGGGAUUAUUGGAGAAGGAACUUAUGGCCAGGUAUAUAAAGCAAAGGACAAAGACACAGGAGAGCUGGUGGCCCUGAAGAAGGUGAGACUGGACAAUGAAAAAGAGGGCUUCCCAAUCACAGCCAUUCGUGAGAUCAAAAUCCUUCGUCAGCUGAUCCACCGAAGUGUUGUUAACAUGAAGGAAAUUGUCACAGAUAAGCAGGAUGCACUGGAUUUCAAGAAGGACAAAGGAGCCUUUUACCUUGUGUUUGAAUAUAUGGACCAUGACUUAAUGGGACUUCUGGAAUCUGGUUUGGUGCACUUUUCUGAGGACCAUAUCAAGUCAUUCAUGAAACAGCUAAUGGAAGGAUUGGAUUACUGUCAUAAAAAGAAUUUCCUGCAUCGGGAUAUUAAGUGUUCUAACAUUUUGCUGAACAACAGUGGGCAGAUCAAACUAGCAGAUUUUGGACUUGCUCGACUCUAUAAUUCUGAAGAGAGCCGUCCUUAUACAAACAAAGUUAUUACUCUGUGGUACCGACCUCCAGAACUUCUGCUGGGAGAGGAGCGUUAUACACCAGCGAUAGAUGUUUGGAGCUGUGGAUGCAUUCUUGGGGAACUGUUCACAAAGAAGCCUAUUUUUCAAGCCAAUCUGGAACUGGCUCAGCUAGAACUGAUCAGUCGACUCUGUGGUAGCCCUUGUCCAGCUGUGUGGCCUGAUGUUAUCAAGCUGCCCUACUUCAAUACAAUGAAACCGAAGAAGCAAUAUAGACGGCGCCUACGAGAAGAAUUCUCUUUCAUUCCUUCAGCAGCACUUGAUUUACUGGACCACAUGCUGACGUUAGAUCCUAGCAAACGUUGUACAGCUGAACAGACUCUACAGAGUGAUUUCCUUAAAGAUGUUGAGCUCAGCAAAAUGGAUCCUCCAGACCUUCCCCACUGGCAGGAUUGCCAUGAAUUAUGGAGUAAGAAACGGCGACGGCAGCGACAAAGUGGUGUUUUGGUAGAAGAGCCACCUCCACCCAAAGCCUCUCGAAAAGAAACAAUCUCAGGGACAAGUGCUGAGCCUGUAAAGAACAGCAGCCCAGCACCACCUCAGCCUGCUCCUGGCAAGGUGGAACCUGGGGCUGGGGAUGCAAUAGGCCUCGGUGAUAUCACACAGCAGUUGAAUCAAAGUGAAUUGGCAGUGUUACUGAACCUGCUGCAGAGCCAAACGGACCUGAGCAUUCCUCAAAUGGCGCAGCUGCUUAACAUCCACUCCAACCCAGAGAUGCAACAGCAGCUGGAGGCCCUGAACCAAUCCAUCAGUGCCCUAACGGCUGCCACUUCCCAACAGCAGGACUCAGAGCCCACAGCCCCAGAGGAAUCUUUGAAGGAGAUAGCCCCUGCCCCAGCAGUCCAACCUUCAGCAGAACAGACAACCCCUGAAGCUUCAAGCACACCAGCUGACAUGCAGAAUAUGUUGGCAGUUCUCUUGAGUCAACUGAUGAAAACCCAGGAGCCAGCAGGCAACCUGGAGGAAAACAACAGUGACAAGAACAGUGGGCCACAGGGGCCCCGAAGAACUCCCACAAUGCCACAGGAGGAGGCAGCAGCAUGUCCUCCUCACAUUCUUCCACCAGAGAAGAGGCCCCCUGAGCCCCCCGGACCUCCACCGCCGCCACCUCCACCCCCUCUGGUUGAAGGCGAUCUUUCCAGCGCCCCCCAGGAGUUGAACCCAGCCGUGACAGCCGCCUUGCUGCAACUUUUAUCCCAGCCUGAAGCAGAGCCUCCUGGCCACCUGCCACAUGAGCACCAGGCCUUGAGAUCAAUGGAUUACUCCACCCGACCCCAUCCCAACAGGACUUACGGAAACACUGACGGGCCUGAAACAGGGUUCAGUGCCACUGACACUGAUGAACGCAACUCUGGUCCAGCCUUGACAGAAUCUUUGGCCCAGACCCUGGUGAAGAACAGGACCUUCUCGGGCUCUGUGAGCCACCUUGGGGAGUCCAGCAGUUACCAGGGCACAGGGUGACAGCAGCAGGAGGAGGAAUGGCCCCUGAGGAAUUUGGUAAUGUCCAUUAGUUACCUGACAUCCGGAGCCCUGGCAAAUUCACUCUUUCACAGAGUUUCAAGCCAGGUUUGAUGGGAGAUCCCCCCUGUCCACACACUGUGCAGGACACCGGAAGUAAGAGGUCUGCCAGCCUGCUUAUUCCCAUCCUCAAUGCCCAGAACUGAGCAGGUCACCAACCUACAGUGCCUACCCCUACCCUUCUUCCAGCCAGUGUGUCCCACUGGUUGGUAAGAGAGCUGGAUGUCUGAACCUCCCACCUUGACACCUCGAAGGUUACCAAGCAGACCGUUCUCUAACUCCCAAAGCCGUGGAGGAGGCAAAGGAAGACAUUUCAGAGGUGGCAGUGCCAUGAUGUCCAUCAGUACCUGGGCAGAGAAGCCGAGGAGCAGAGACAGAGACCAGAGAGGGACAGGAGGAGACGCCUGCUCCUGAAGCGCCUCCGUACCCCGUCCUGUCUCACGUGCCUUCUCACAUGCUGACACGGCUCUGUGCCCAGGCUGUGCCAGGCUUCCUGGCUGGUGACCCUGCUCUGCUGUACGGGCAGCUGGCCCUCUGCUCCAGCACAGAGCACGUGCCGGGGUCUCUCCCACUUCUUUCUAAUGCGUCUCAGUGUGUCUGUGGUGCAGAUUCCUAGGGAUUAAGAAGGGGACUGUGGCCCUGGGAGUAGGAAGAUGGUGGGCUCUUGGGUCCUGUAGGUGCCUGUCUGCCUGGCUGGAGCGGCUGUGGGGAGGGAGAAGGCUGCUGGCAGCUCAACUGAGCUCAAGGUUCUGGUGACUCAUAACAAUGGGGGGUGGCUCAUGAUAACAACAGAGGAGAAGGUGUCAGGGCCUGUUAGAGCUCCCUUUUGCCCCAUUUCUCCCCCACUCUGCGCUCUGUGGAUAGAGGUCUCUCAUCUGGAUUGUGGGGCAAGGAGAGACCCCAGCUAAGAAAGAAGAGAGGGAAAUAGGAGAGAAGAUGGCAGGGAAUGCUGAGCAUUCCCAGGGAGAGGCUUCUCAGUGAGGAAAGGAUAGGAGAGGCUAGUUAUUCUUACUCUGCCGUGUCCAUGGGCUACACACAGGGUGGUGUGCUGGGCAGCUCGGCACUCCUGGGCAGACACAGCUACUGCUCCCUGCCCUCUCUUGCCUUCCACAGCUCUGGGCACCCAAAAAUUUUUUUUUAAAGUAGGGGGGCACUAUUUUAAGACCAGAACAUGGAAGGAUUACCACUUGGUCUUAUACUUUCUUUGCUGGAAACAGAAACUGUGGUCUUCAAAGGUGCUGAUUUUCUCUUCCCUUACAGGCCAAGUAGGCGAUGUGCAUCUUCUCCAGACUUUCUGAAUCAGGGGGAUGAUAAAAUACUAUGUUUAAGGUCACACCAGCCGAACAGGGCCAGAAAGAGGACCAGGAGAACUAGCCAUGCCCCUGACCACAGUCCCAGGGGCCUCCCUGUUUCAGCAAAAGGAAAUAAAGAUCUUGGAUACCAGUGUAUCUAGACACUUAAUAAAUAUCCUCCUUCUAACCUCAGAGAAGAAUCGGAGAGGAGCUCUCUGAGAGAACCUAAGUUUUCAUUUGUCUAUUUCUAUUCUUUUCACUGAUGGCAGCUCUGCUGUCCAGCAGCAGUGAGGGGCCCCUCUGCUGGGAUGCUUCUGGGGAUCCAGAGACAGUUUUGGUUGGACAAAGGGACAGGCUGGCUGCUGUUUGUGUAGGGAGAUGUGACCAGUUCCACUUCCCCAGCUCUUCCUGGCAGCAUCAGGAACCCAGGCACCCCUGCUGGAACACCCAUAGUAAAGCUCAACCCUGAACUGAACUGACAUAUCACCUGGCUCUGCUAUAAAAGUGGUGAUGUAAGGGGGAGGCUCGGUGCACCUGGUCGGGUGUAGGCAGGUGUGGGGAGUUCAACUCCAGGAGGUACAAGGAUCACUCCACAAUACCACCUCUUAAACCUUCUCCUCAACCCUCCUUUAACUUCCACCUCCAUUUAGCCGACUCCGCUUCUGGCUACCUCAUGCCCUCCAAUCUGAAAAGACAUGGUAAGUAGUUGUCUGUUGCCUACACUUUUUUCUCACUCUCCUCCGCUCCUCCCAACUCCCAGCCAAGAGUUACCCCAUUUGACCUCUUCCCAUUGGUGAAAGCCCUCCGGUUCUGAACCCAGAAUCCCCAGCCUCUGAAACCCUCCUUCUUUUGAGAAUGCCACUCUGGCUCUGAGACUGACUCACCAGUCCUCAUCCUCCACAUAAGUAUAGCGAGGCCAAGACAAGCAUGUCCACUGGCACCAAGGGCCCUGACCUGAAGCAAAGGGCAGCUCUAGGGGUACAGCAGAGCUUGGCCCUGAAUGUGUAUAUGCCUGUGCAUUGGGCACAUUGGUUUAUUAGUGUUAUUUCAGCAUUGUGAUGCAGAGAGAGUAAGUGUAACAGCUGCUCCUUGCUUGCAGUGUUUAUUGUUACCUAGAGACAACCUCCUGGCUUUUUCCCAGCUCCCCCUCCCCCCCCAGCUUACCCCCCUCCCUGCCAACAGUCCUCCUCUCCCCACACUGAUGGGAAAUUUAUGGCUUGCCCAUACCAUGUCUUUAACCCUCUCCUGUCCAUAAGAUAGGUGGGUCAAGGGAAGCCAAAGUGAGCAGUGGGCCUGCUUAGGUCCCAGCAGGGUAGAAUAGUGCUUGGAGGAGGGAAGGAGAGACAGAGGGACGGAAGACACCUCUUCUUCCCAAUCUGUGUCUGGACUCAGGCCCCAGUUUCCUUCCUGACUCUCAUGUUGAGAGAAAAGUCUUAGGAUCCCAGGCUUCUCCUCACAAGAUUAUUCUCUUCCCUGGUUAUCUCUAAGCACUCCCCUCCUCAGUGGACUGGCUGCUCCUGAGCAAGUACAACCAGGUAGUAUUGAGACAGGAGGAAUAAAUGCAGAGUGGCAGAACCCCUGGGGCCCCUCCUUUCUAUAGAGAUGUCAUAUUGAGACAAACAAGAGGCUCUGGCAUGAACGGUGCUGGCCAGACCUCCACAGCUGAGUAGAUGUCAAACAUGAAGCUGGCUGCUGAGCCUGGUGGGGAAAACUGCCCACCUUAACUUCACCCUGAGCCUAGCACUAAGGUCCUGAGAGAGUCCCAGGCCACCCUCCAAGCUGAUCUCCUUGGUCUAGUUUCCUGAUACAUUUUCUCCUGCUCAUUGUUUGGUUUGAUACAUUGGGAAAGAUCCAAGAGACCAAGGGAACUGAGGCCUCAACAGUCCUAUGGAAAGAGAAACUCCUCUAUCCCAUCUGGUCCCAGGACCUUUCAUGGAGGGGCAUCAUGUCAUAUAUUCACCAUCCCCGCUGGAAACAAGAGAAAUAAAAUAAUAGGAUUUUAGCAGAAAGGAUAGAGGUUAGACAUAUGGAAAAACUUACUUGUGGGGUAUAAGACUUCAAAAUGGACCUACUUCUCUUUAGAGACUUUUCUUUUGCCUUGGAUGGUUUUAAGUCUGUGUUUACCCAAGGGGCAUUGGAAGAGCAGGGGUAAUUUUCUGGGGCUCCUCCAGACGUGAACCUCAGUGCAGUUUCCCCCUCAGUUCUAAACCUAGUAUGUGUGGUGGUUAGAUUGUAAAUUUAUGGGCUGACAGCCUUGAGUUCCAAUGCUGGUGCUGCUGCUCACUAGCUGUGCCACCUUGGUAAAUCCCAUAACCUCUUUUAGCCCUAGUUUCCUUGCCUGUGAAAUGUAGAUAACCUUUUAAGAUGGUGAAGAGAAUUUAGUGAAAUAAUGUGUGUAAAGUACCUCAGAAAGUGCCUGAUACUGAGUAGGUGCUCAGUCAAUAGUGGUUGAUACAAUAGAGUCUACUACUUUUUUAGAGUCAUCAGGGCUGAUUUCUUCAAAGGCUCUUAUGAAUCCCCUGGAAUUAUAGCCAAAUGUGAGUUUGUGCAAGUGCUGGGGGUAAUGUCCAUAGUUUUAUUGAUGAUGUGAAACAGGACGGCAGUCUCCUGGAAAGGAAGUAGCCCCAAUCCUUUGAGUCACACUCCAGAAGAAGUCAGUUUCCGCAUACCCAUGACUUCAGCUAGGAGCUCCGCAGGUAGUGUCCUGCCUGGAAGUACAGCUUCAUCUAGAAUGGAGCUGGGAGAGACAGCCAGUAAGGUAACAUGGAGGAAUGGAAAGCCCUGGUGGCUGGUGGUCCAGUGGUUAGGACUCCGUGCUUCCACUGCAGGGGGCGUGUGUGUUCCAUCCCUGGUCAGGGAACUAAGAUCCUCCGUGCUGUGCAGCACAGCCAAAAUAAAAAGAUAGCAGCACAGAGCGCUUGCCAAGCACUUUACAGUUUGUAAGUGCGUUUACCUGUAUUAGCUCUCUUAAAUACCCAGAACAUCUCAGUAAAAUGAAGAACUACCUGGCAUUGUUCUUGGUGUACUAUAUUUUUAAGGAUGUUUAAAGUCUGUAGACUAUUUCAUCACCUAGGUAUGUCAUGAUUUAUAAAGCUCAUCCACUAUUUUAAUCAUUUAGAUAUGUUUACUGUUACAGAUAAUACCAUGAUGAACAUCCUACCACAUAAAACUUGUGUGGUUUUUUUUUCAUUUUUUAUUGAAGUAGAAUUGAUAUACAACAUUUUAUUAGUUUCAGGUUACAACAUAAUGGUUCAGUAUUUGUAUAUAUUGCAAAAUUAUCAUCACAGUGAGUCUAGUUAACAUCCAUCACCAUAAUAGUUACAGAAUUCUUUUUUUCUUGUGAAAAACUUCAUGCAAUUUUUAAAGUAAAUUCAAGGGAGUGAAAUUACUGGUACAACAGAUACAAAUACCCCAGUCCCCAUAGUUAUAAUCAUCUUAUUGAUGCAAUGAGAAUAAUAUUUUUUAAUCUUCCUCUUUGGAAUUCUGCAGUGGGAACACAAGGGCAGCCCCUUCUCUCUCCUAUACCCAGCAGAAACAUUAAUAAUCUAUCAUAUCCUUUUUAAAAAUUGAGGUAAUUGCAGUUGUAAAAAUAAUACAGAGAGUUCCCUUAUACAUUUUGCCCACUUUCACCCAGUAGUAACAUCUUGUAAAACUGUAGCAUAACAUCACAACCGGAACAUUGCCAUUAUUUCAAACCACCAGUCUUAGUCAUAUUUCCCCAGUUUUACCUGUAUAUGUGUAUAUAUUAAGUUCUAUGCAAUUUUAUUACCUCUGUAAAUUCUUAAAUCUGCUACCACAGUUCCAGCACCACAAGGAUUCUUCAUGUUACCCUUUUAAUGAUCACGCCUCUAUGUCACCCCCUUCUUAACCCUUGACAACCACUAAUAUAUCCUCCACUUCUAAAAUUUUGUCAUUUGAAAAUGGAAUCAUACAUUGUGUAACUUUUGGGGAUUGGAUUUUUUUUCACUCAGCAUAAUCCUCUAGAGAUCCAUCCGAGUUUUUUAAUGUAUCAGUAGUUUAUUUUAUUUAUUUCAAGAUAUGGAUGUACCACAGAUGUACCAUGUUUAACCAUUAAUCUAUUAAAGAAUACUGAAUACAACAUUGUAAAUCAGUUAUACUCCAAUAAAACUAAAAGUUUUUUGAAAAAAGGAACACUUUGUGCUC